rnacentral:rRNA from 1 species
CCUACGGGGGGCUGCAGUGAGGAAUAUUGGUCAAUGGCCGGAAGGCUGAACCAGCCAUGCCGCGUGAAGGUCAGUGCCCUAUGGGCGUUAAACUUCUUUUGUGCGGGAGCAAUAAUGGUCACGUGUGGCCAGACGAGAGUACCGUACGAAUAAGCAUCGGCUAACUCCGUGCCAGCAGCCGCGGUCAUACGGGGGAGGCAAGCGUUAUCCGGAUUUAUUGGGUUUAAAGUGUGCGUAGGCUGUGAGGUAAGUCAGCGGUGAAAUGCCCCCGCUCAACGGGGUGAAGUGCCAUUGAUACUGCCUGGCUGGAAUGCGGAUGCCGUGGGAGGAAUGUGUGGUGUAGCGGUGAAAUGCAUAGAUAUCACACAGAACACCGAUUGCGAAGGCAUCUCACGAAUCCGCGAUUGACGCUGAUGCACGAAAGCGUGGGUAUCAAACAGGAUUAGAUACCCCAGUAGUC